rnacentral:lncRNA from 1 species
GGAUUAGCUUUUAGCAAAAGCAAGAAGCAAGAGAUUUUGCAAACCAACAUUCCACACAGAACUCUCAGGAACUGGGGAACUGAAGACAGGGGCAGUUGUUGGACUCCUCUGGAACAGAUAGAGGCUGCUGAUUUUUCUCUAGCAGUCAGGAGAACCAAGAGGGUUUCUGGCUGGUAUUUCUGGGGUGGAUCUAGAGAGCCAGUGAUUCCCUCUUUUUUGGCUUUCUUGAUAUUCUGCCUGUUCCUGCCUGAUGUUGCUGUCAGUGCUGCUGAUGUCAAGUGGAUUUCAACAGAGCUGUUACUGGAACAACUGCUUGAAUCAAAGAGGACUCCUAUGUUACUUUGUGUACAGUCUCCGUCAGUGCUGCUGUCACUAAAGCUCACUAUCACCUGUUGAAGUAGCCAAGUGCUUUGUGGGGAUAUUUGGAAUUGAACGCAUUUUCACUGAAAUUUCUAACGUAAAUCAACUAUUCUGAGAAACUAAAUCCAUAAGUAUGUACUGGUCUUUUGCAUUGAAAGGCAAACAUGUUUUGCCACUCAGUUCACUGUACUUUUAUGUCUGUAUCUUUAUAUACCCAAAUCUGUAGAUAAGGCCAAAUGAAGAACAUCUAAUUUAAGAAUCUCUUUCCUAAGUCAAGUCACUCGUCUUUCUUGUUAAUUUAUGCAGUCUCUAAUUAUAAAUGAUUUUUCCAGUGAACGGAUGAACCACAGUUUGUGCCUAAAAAAAUAAAUAAACCUGCCGAAUGCUGCUAAUACUAAAA